rnacentral:tRNA from 3 species
GGGGCCGUAGUCUAGCCUGGUAGGACGCACGGCUCGGUCCCGGGAGGGAGAUCCCCGGGAAUUCAAAUCCCGGCGGCCCCA